GGUUCGGGAUGAGCUCGCGGCCUAUCAGCUUGUUGGUGAGGUAAUGGCUCACCAAGGCGACGACGGGUAGCCGGCCUGAGAGGGUGACCGGCCACACUGGGACUGAGACACGGCCCAGACUCCUACGGGAGGCAGCAGUGGGGAAUAUUGCACAAUGGGCGCAAGCCUGAUGCAGCAACGCCGCGUGAGGGAUGACGGCCUUCGGGUUGUAAACCUCUUUUAGUAGGGAAGAAGCGAAAGUGACGGUACCUGCAGAAAAAGCACCGGCUAACUACGUGCCAGCAGCCGCGGUAAUACGUAGGGUGCAAGCGUUGUCCGGAAUUAUUGGGCGUAAAGAGCUCGUAGGCGGUUUGUCGCGUCUGCUGUGAAAUCCCGAGGCUCAACCUCGGGCCUGCAGUGGGUACGGGCAGACUAGAGUGCGGUAGGGGAGAAUGGAACUCCUGGUGUAGCGGUGGAAUGCGCAGAUAUCAGGAAGAACACCGAUGGCGAAGGCAGUUCUCUGGGCCGUAACUGACGCUGAGGAGCGAAAGCGUGGGGAGCGAACAGGAUUAGAUACCCUGGUAGUCCACGCCGUAAACGUUGGGCGCUAGAUGUGGGGACCAUUCCACGGUUUCCGUGUCGCAGC
rnacentral:rRNA from 1 species